CCUACGGGUGGCUGCAGUGGGGAAUAUUGGACAAUGGGGGGAACCCUGAUCCAGCCAUGCCGCGUGUGUGAAGAAGGCCCUCGGGUUGUAAAGCACUUUCAGUGAGGAAGAACGCCUGGUGGUUAAUACCCAUCAGGAAAGACAUCACUCACAGAAGAAGCACCGGCUAACUCCGUGCCAGCAGCCGCGGUAAUACGGAGGGUGCGAGCGUUAAUCGGAAUUACUGGGCGUAAAGCGCGCGUAGGUGGCUUGAUAAGCCGGUUGUGAAAGCCCCGGGCUCAACCUGGGAACGGCAUCCGGAACUGUCAAGCUAGAGUGCAGGAGAGGAAGGUAGAAUUCCCGGUGUAGCGGUGAAAUGCGUAGAGCUCGGGAGGAAUACCAGUGGCGAAGGCGGCCUUCUGGACUGACACUGACACUGAGGUGCGAAAGCGUGGGUAGCAAACAGGAUUAGAUACCCCUGUAGUC
rnacentral:rRNA from 1 species